rnacentral:rRNA from 1 species
AGAGUUUGAUCCUGGCUCAGAUUGAACGCUGGCGGCAGGCCUAACACAUGCAAGUCGAGCGGAAACGAGUUAUCUGAACCUUCGGGGAACGAUAACGGCGUCGAGCGGCGGACGGGUGAGUAAUGCCUAGGAAAUUGCCCUGAUGUGGGGGAUAACCAUUGGAAACGAUGGCUAAUACCGCAUAAUACCUACGGGUCAAAGAGGGGGACCUUCGGGCCUCUCGCGUCAGGAUAUGCCUAGGUGGGAUUAGCUAGUUGGUGAGGUAAUGGCUCACCAAGGCGACGAUCCCUAGCUGGUCUGAGAGGAUGAUCAGCCACACUGGAACUGAGACACGGUCCAGACUCCUACGGGAGGCAGCAGUGGGGAAUAUUGCACAAUGGGCGCAAGCCUGAUGCAGCCAUGCCGCGUGUGUGAAGAAGGCCUUCGGGUUGUAAAGCACUUUCAGUCGUGAGGAAGGUGGUGUAGUUAAUAGCUGCAUUAUUUGACGUUAGCGACAGAAGAAGUACCGGCUAACUCCGUGCCAGCAGCCGCGGUAAU